CCUUAAUGGUGCCUCUACAAUGGAUUCCAGAUUUGAUCUAAUCAAAUUCGAUUCUUUGGGUUUAUUAGAUUGUGUUGGUUCUUUUACCUGUCGAACUUCAUAAGUUCUAUAUUAAAGGUAUCAAUACCUUCACCAAGGUACUCCUUUUCUAAAAAGAAUGCUGAAUAAUUUUUAUUCUUUAGCAAGGUAGAAGUUAUAUCUCCUAGAUUCUUUAGGGUUAUCCUAUAAAAUAAUAUAUAUAGGAUUAUGAUCCAAGUUAAUCAAUCUGCAAAUAUUCGACACAAACCAA
rnacentral:lncRNA from 1 species